rnacentral:rRNA from 1 species
UCCUACGGGGGGCAGCAGUGGGGAAUAUUGCACAAUGGGGGAAACCCUGAUGCAGCGACGCCGCGUGAAGGAAGAAGUAUUUCGGUAUGUAAAGUUCUAUCAGCAGGGAAGAAAAUGACGGUACCUGACUAAGAAGCCCCGGCUAACUACGUGCCAGCAGCCGCGGUAAUACGUAGGGGGCAAGCGUUAUCCGGAUUUACUGGGUGUAAAGGGAGCGUAGACGGCGUAGCAAGUCAGAAGUGAAAACCCGGGGCUUAACUCCGGGACUGCUUUUGAAACUGUUUGACUGGAGUGCAGGAGAGGUA